GGCCUUCUUUGGUGCUGGAUCCAGCUGAGGAUUACAGCUGUUUGGAGGCCAAGAAGUCAUACUGACCCGUGGAUAGUGAAAGAGCGAGACAAGAGACGAGGUGGAGGCAGACAGCCAACGCAUGCCCGAUCACCGCUUUUCAAAACCCUGCACACGCCCGCACCUUUGUCCCCGAGCCGCACGACAACACCGCAGUCCUCAAAGUCCUGCCCCCAAAUACCCGUUCCCGGUGCCCCCCCCCCCGUUCUGUCAUUGCACCUUAUUGAUUCAAAGGAGCACGAGCACUCACCUGAGCCAGCCUCUAUCUGUUGCAAGACUGUAUCCUUUUCUUGUUCUAAAUGUGCAAGGAAGUCAUCUACAUUGUGGCAUAGUCCAGAAAUGUUGUUAAUGGACUUGGUGGAUAAACAGUUUUAGA